rnacentral:rRNA from 1 species
CCAGGGAUGUGCUCGCGGCCUAUCAGCUUGUUGGUGGGGUAAUGGCCUACCAAGGCUUCGACGGGUAGCCGGCCUGAGAGGGUGACCGGCCACACUGGGACUGAGACACGGCCCAGACUCCUACGGGAGGCAGCAGUGGGGAAUAUUGGACAAUGGGCGGAAGCCUGAUCCAGCAACGCCGCGUGAGGGAUGACGGCCUUCGGGUUGUAAACCUCUUUCAGUACCGACGAAGCGCCGAUGAUGGUGGUGACGGUAGGUACAGAAGAAGCACCGGCCAACUACGUGCCAGCAGCCGCGGUAAUACGUAGGGUGCGAGCGUUGUCCGGAAUUAUUGGGCGUAAAGGGCUCGUAGGCGGUUUGUCGCGUCGGGAGUGAAAACCCAGGGCUUAACUCUGGGCUGGCUUUCGAUACGGGCAGACUAGAGGUAUGCAGGGGAGAACGGAAUUCCUGGUGUAGCGGUGAAAUGCGCAGAUAUCAGGAGGAACACCGGUGGCGAAGGCG